UGCCACCACAGGCAUGCAGAAAGCAUGCAAGAGAUGCAGGACAGCAAAUAUUGGUGACAGAGAUCACCUGUGAAGUGCCACCAGAUGGCAAAAUACCCAUCAGCCACACUCCCAAGCCUGCUUGUCAGCAUCACAGGAUUGAGAUGAGGCUGCAAGAGAGUGAUGCUCAAAAGAUAGGCUGGAAAUAAAUCCCCACAGACCUGUGCCUAUA